rnacentral:rRNA from 1 species
AAGACCUUGCACUUUUGGAGCGGCCGAUGUCUGAUUAGCUAGUUGGUGGGGUAAUGGCCUACCAAAGCUUCGAUCAGUAGCUGGUCUGAGAGGACGGCCAGCCACACUGGGACUGAGACACGGCCCAGACUCCUACGGGAGGCAGCAGUGGGGAAUUUUGGACAAUGGGCGCAAGCCUGAUCCAGCCAUGCCGCGUGAGUGAAGUCGGCCUUCGGGUUGUAAAGCUCUUUCAGCCGGGAAGAAAAGGUUGCGACUAAUAAUCGCAAUUCAUGACGGUACCGAAAGAAGAAGCACCGGCUAACUACGUGCCAGCAGCCGCGGUAAUACGUAGGGUGCGAGCGUUAAUCGGAAUUACUGGGCGUAAAGGGUGCGCAGGCGGUUUUGUAAGUCAGAUGUGAAAUCCCCGGGCUUAACCUGGGAACU